GGUUGUCCGACACUUUUACUUUGAAAAAAUUAGAGUGCUCAAAGCAGGCCGACGCCUGGAUACUGGUGCAUGGAAUAAUGGAAUAGGACCUCGGUUCUAUUUUGUUGGUUUUUGGAUCCCGAGGUAAUGAUUAAGAGGGACAGACGGGGGCAUUCGUAUUGCGGCGCUAGAGGUGAAAUUCUUGGACCGCUGCAAGACGAACUACUGCGAAAGCAUUUGCCAAGAAUGUUUUCAUUAAUCAAGAACGAAAGUUAGAGGUUCGAAGGCGAUCAGAUACCGCCCUAGUUCUAACCAUAAACGAUGCCAACCAGCAAUCCGCCAGAGUUCCUCAAACGACUCGGCGGGCAGCUUCCGGGAAACCAAAGUGUUUGGGUUCCGGGGGAAGUAUGGUUGCAAAGCUGAAACUUAAAGGAAUUGACGGAAGGGCACCACCAGGAGUGGAGCCUGCGGCUUAAUUUGACUCAACACGGGGAAACUUACCCGGCCCGGACACCGGAAGGAUUGACAGAUUAAUAGCUCUUUCUUGAUUCGGUGGGUGGUGGUGCAUGGCCGUUCUUAGUUGGUGGAGUGAUUUGUCUGGUUAAUUCCGAUAACGAACGAGACUCUAGCCUACUAAAUAGACCCACGAUCCUUGGUAUCGUGAGCGGGUCUUCUUAGAGGGACAGGCGGCUUUUAGCCGCACGAAACAGAGCAAUAACAGGUCUGUGAUGCCCUUAGAUGUCCGGGGCCGCACGCGCGCUACACUGAAGGAAUCAGCGUGUGUAACCCUUAUCCGAAAGGACUGGGUAACCCGAUGAACCUUCUUCGUGAUAGGGAUAGGGGAUUGUAAUUAUUCCCCUCGAACGAGGAAUUCCCAGUAAGCGCGAGUCAUCAGCUCGCGUUGAUUACGUCCCUGCCCUUUGUACACACCGCCCGUCGCUACUACCGAUUGAAUGAUUUAGUGAGGUCUUCGGACUGGUGCGAGGAGCGGCUUCGGCCUUUCCUUGCGCCGGGAAGAUGACCGAACUUGAUCAUUUAGAGGAAGUAAAAGUCGUAACAAGGUUGCCG
rnacentral:rRNA from 1 species